GGGGGAUAUUGCACAAUGGAGGAAACUCUGAUGCAGCAACGCCGCGUGAAGGAAGACGGUCUUCGGAUUGUAAACUUUUGUACUUGGGGACGAUAAUGACGGUACCCAAGCAGCAAGCUCCGGCUAACUACGUGCCAGCAGCCGCGGUAAUACGUAGGGAGCGAGCGUUGUCCGGAUUUACUGGGUGUAAAGGGUGCGUAGGCGGCUUGGCAAGUCAGUUGUGAAAACUAUGGGCUCAACCCAUAGCCUGCAAUUGAAACUGUUGAGCUUGAGUGAAGUAGAGGUAGGUGGAAUUCCCGGUGUAGCGGUGAAAUGCGUAGAGAUCGGGAGGAACACCAGUGGCGAAGGCGACCUACUGGGCUUUAACUGACGCUGAGGCACGAAAGCAUGGGUAGCAAACA
rnacentral:rRNA from 1 species